GACGAACGCUGGCGGCGUGCUUAACACAUGCAAGUCGAACGGUGAACCUCUUCGGAGGGGAUCAGUGGCGAACGGGUGAGUAACACGUGGGCAACCUGCCCCCGGCUCUGGGAUAACUCCAAGAAAUUGGGGCUAAUACCGGAUGUUCACCGCUUCCCGCAUGGGUGGUGGUGGAAAGGGUUUCCGGCUGGGGAUGGGCCCGCGGCCUAUCAGCUUGUUGGUGGGGUAGUGGCCUACCAAGGCGACGACGGGUAGCCGGCCUGAGAGGGUGACCGGCCACACUGGGACAGAGACACGGCCCAGACUCCUACGGGAGGCAGCAGUGUGGAAUAUUGCGCAAUGGGCGGAAGCCUGACGCAGCGACGCCGCGUGGGGGAUGACGGCCUUCGGGUUGUAAGCCUCUUUCAGCAGGGACGAAGCGCAAGUGACGGUACCUGCAGAAGAAGCACCGGCCAACUACGUG
rnacentral:rRNA from 1 species